rnacentral:lncRNA from 1 species
UCUGGACUUAAAUCACAUAAUUCCGCUCCAAUUCAUCCCUCUCGUUCCUGAAUACCAUUUAACUCCCCAAAAUCCACCAUAAUUCCCCAAAUCACCCAAUCCCCAAACUGAACUUCAAGAAUACAAACAUUCGGGCAAAUUUACUCAAGAACCCUAACCAACCAUUUGGGCAAAUUUACUCAGUUACGGUGGCCAGCUUUAUUGAAGAACCCUACCCCCAAAAUGGAGUUGCGAAGUAUUUGAAUGAACACUCUGUCGUUGUGGUACAUUCUGGAAGGCGUGUACAUGGAAGUUUCAGAUGAAGGUAAUUUCGCAAUGUUGGGGUGCCUUGGCUGAUUUUUUUUUGUUAUUUGAAUCUAUUGGAAGUACCUAUCCGUGUGCUAUAUUAUGUUUUUUUUUUUUUUUUUUUUUUUUUUUUUUUUGCUCCAUCUUGAUAUGUAUGAAUCGUAUUUUUUUUGGGAUUUAUGAGGUCGAAUUAUUUUAUUUGAAUUGAAAACACUAAGUUGAAUUUUCCUUCAUUUUUCUUGUCAGCCGAACCUCCUUCAUUGUAAUGAAUCUCGGCCAGGACGUUUCGAGAGGGACCAACGCCUACUGCGGAACAUGAAUCUUGGCCAGGACGGUUUCGAGAGGGACCAGCAGCAGCUCAUUGGAAUGCAACAGGCGACCAUCAAGUUCCCGUCGUAAAUGUGAACUUCGACGACACCAUUCACGACAUGCAGGACACGGCAGGACUGGAAUCGGACAAAUUGGGAAAGGCCAAGGCACGAGCACGUCCUAGGAGGAAAUCUGCGAAAUUGGGACAGCAGUGACGAUCAACUAUGUGACAGCAGUCCCAUAUUUUUGUUUGUUGGUGUAUGUUGCUGCAUAUUAUGUUUUUGUUUUUGGUGUAUGUUGCUGCAUAUUAUGUGCCAGCAGUCCCUGAAGUUGGGUGUUUGUGGAUAGUGGUUAGGGUUGUUGGUUCGUGAGGAAAUUGGAGCAAAACCUGGCAACAAAUGUUUUGCAUUGGCGGUUAUGUACUGCAAUUAACCCAAUCUUUUUGUUUUCUGGUGUAUGUACUGCAAUUAAAGCAAGUGUUUAUGUACUGCAAUUAAGGCAAAUAGUUAUGUUUUUCACUAGUAAAUCACAAAAUUCAAAAUGCAGUGUACACAGAUUUUAAGUGCUUUGAGUUGGAUGCAUGGCAAUGAAUACGUUGAUGUGAUUUAUGAGUUUGUUAGUGUAUGACUGGAGAUUGAAAUUUGAUGAGGUUUUCUU